rnacentral:rRNA from 1 species
CGUAGGUGGCAAGCGUUGUCCGGAAUUAUUGGGCGUAAAGGGUGCGUAGGCGGUUUUUUAAGUGGGAUGUGAAAUACCUAGGCUUAACUUAGGAAUGGCAUUCCAAACUGGAAGACUAGAGUGCAGGAGAGGAAAGUGGAAUUCCCAGUGUAGCGGUGAAAUGCGUAGAGAUUGGGAGGAACACCAGUGGCGAAGGCGACUUUCUGGACUGUAACUGACGCUGAGGCACGAAAGCGUGGGGAGCAAACAGGAUUAGAUACCCUGGUAGUCCACGCUGUAAACGAUGAGUACUAGGUGUGGGGGGCGAAGCCCUCUGUGCCGCAGUUAACACAAUAAGUACUCCGCCUGGGAAGUACGAUCGCAAGAUUA